rnacentral:rRNA from 1 species
UACAGAGGGUGCGAGCGUUGUCCGGAAUCACUGGGCGUAAAGGGCGCGUAGGUGGCCUGAUAAGUAGGGGGUGAAAUCUCGCGGCUCAACUGCGAGGCUGCCUCCUAAACUGUCGGGCUCGAGCAGAGUAGAGGCAGGUGGAAUUCCCGGUGUAGCGGUGGAAUGCGUAGAGAUCGGGAAGAACAUCGGUGGCAAAGGCGGCCUGCUGGGCUCUUGCUGACACUGAGGCGCGACAGCGUGGGGAGCAAACAGG